rnacentral:lncRNA from 1 species
GGGGACUGGCCUCAAAUUGGGCACGAGAUGAGCCUUAAAGUGGGUCUUUAAAUGGGCCCCCAAUGGUCCCGAGAUGGGUCUAAAAAUGGGCCUAUAUGGGCUUUAGAUUGGCGUUAUACGGGCCUAUAAAUGAACCUUAGACGGACCUUAAAAUAGACCUUAAAUGGGCAUUAAAAUGGGUCUUGUAUGGGGCACUGUAUGGCUUCAGUUGGGCCUGAAAUUGGGCUUAGAUGGGCAUCAUAUGGGCCUUUCUCUUUCUCUCCUUCCCUCUUCCAUCUUCUCCAGAUUCCUUGCGCCCGCGCCCUUCUCUCUCAAAUCUUAAUGGCAGAAGCCUCUACUCUAUACCUCUCUCCUUUCUCUUCCCUUCCUUCCAUUUCUCGGUCCAGGGAAUCCAAUUCAUCCGUUUUCUCUCCGCUCAAAUUCUCCACAAUUUCUCGUCCUCCUCGACCCUCCUGCUUCCCUACGCUUCACCGUCAAAAGCCUCGGACUACGCGGACGAACCUUUCAGCUUCUUUUCCAUGGUCUGAUGG